CGGGCGGUGGGGCUCUCAAAGGCAGUGUUGGGGAAGCUCUGGUGAUGGUGGUGAGUGACGCACCGCGCUCCUGCUAGUGAUGGAUGUUGUGGUGGUGGUCGCCAAUCAGUUGCCUUAGAGUGCACGUGCCUUGUGGAGGGUCGCUGCGGGUAGCGGACUUCAUUGCUCCGCGUGUCACUUGCCGGAGGCUGAGAAAAACGAGUCUUGCGGUGAAUAACUGAUAUUAGUUUUGUGUGUCAUGCACUUGAAGCUCAGUGCCGCAGUUUUGUCGCUUCUUAUGAGCAAGUGAACGGACGUUGCUCGUGAAGCUAGUGCUGUGGUCGUAGCGUGAGAGCGAGGACCUGCUGACUUCUGCAGCUAACGCGUGACCAGGAGGGGCGUCCUCCGCGGCUGCCGGGAUCAGAUACAGAAGAGGUGAGCGAGGCUCGUCCGCGCCGAGAGGGAACCGGAAUGGCGCGGGAGACCUUAUGCCUGGGUGUGGGAGCAGGCUGCGCCCCGCUCCAGCUGCUGCUCUUGCUGCUGCUUGGCGUGACUAGCGUCCUGGGAGCGAUGUUGCCGCCUCGCCUCAGCUCCCAUCAGACUAUCGUCACGCUGCAGGAAGGGCAGGAGGGAUAUGUGCUCGAGUGUAACAAUAAGAACAU